AGUUACACGCUAUGGCUUGUUGUUUAAAAGCUGUAGGUACUGCGGAUGCAGCCAUCGGUGUAACCACUUGUCGUUUAGCAUGUGGCGGUCAUGGAUUUAUGAACAGUAGUAAUCUACCAAACAUAUACACGCAGACUACUGCUGCAGAAACGUACGAAGGAGAGAACACAGUGUUACUUUUACAGACAGCUAGGUAAAACAAUAAUAAUAAUAAUAAUAAUAAAAUUGUUAUAACUAAAGACCGGAUUUAUAUGUACUUAUAAUUGUUAAAUAUGAAUGCGAAAAAUAAGCACUAAAAAAGUCAAAAUAUGUAGAAAAAUGUUACGAAAUAUGCAAAAUAUUUUAUUACGUUUUUUUUUUUUAUUGUAAUUCACAAUUUCGAACUGUAAAUUAUUAAUUAUUAUAAUUUGUGUAAACAAAAAGUAAAAUAAAUACUUAUAAUUUAGUAUAGCAUCUACAUGCAGUAUAAAAAUGUAAUAUUUAAAUUUUUUAUGUAUGACUGUAUGAGUAUUUUAAAUUAUACAUACAGUUAAUUAAAAUCUGUAAACACAAAACUAAGAAUAUAUUUUAUUUUUUAUUUUUGAAUACAUUGCAAAAACAAAAUAAUUAGUAUUUUAGUAAUCUAGUUUNACUUUCAUUGACUGUAUGUGUACGAUGUAGAAAUUACAAAUAUGCAAUUUAUGCAAAAUCUGGCCCUUAGUUAUAAUGCUUUUAACGAAAAAUGUAAAUUAAAUUUUUUUAAUUAAAGAUUUCUGAUGAAAACGUAUCGUACUGUAAAAACAGGAAGUUUUUCGACGUCUACUACUUUAUCGUACAUGGAAAAUUACAACGAUUUGAAAAAACGACGAUGGACAUCAACAUUAGAGUGUAUGGCGAGUGCAUUUUAUCAAGUCGCCGGAAGGUAUAAGAGAUUCAUUUUAUAAGAAAAUGUUUAACAUUAUUUUCUAACUUACUAGUAUAUUUUUAAACGUGUUUUAGUAAGAUCGAAGACUGUAAUUUAACCAUCAAACGACUGGUGAACUCCGGAGUUACUCAGGAGGACGCUUGGAAUCAAACGUCCAUCAAACUAACUCAUGCAUCUGAAGUAUAUAUUAUACGUGCUAAUAAUUUAAUUAAGUAAAAAUGUAAAAUGCAAUAUACCUAUAUAAUUAGAUAUUUUAUUGGGUAACUCCAAUAUUAUAUUUGAUUUAAUUUUUUCCAUGCAAAAUAUUUUAUUAAAAUGAUGCGCAAAAAAUUUAAUCAAAUAUAAUUGAGUGUAAUGAGAGUGACAUUUAGUUGAUUUUUAUAGGCACACUGUAGAGCAUUUGUUAUCGAUGUAUAUCUGAAAAUUCUUCAAACGUCUACAUUUUCGACGGAGAUAAUGAAAGUACUCACUGAUCUGGGUGAGCUUAUUUGUGCGUGUUGGAUAAUAAAUCGUCUUGGAGAUUUCCUACAGGUUAAUCGUUAACUAUAAUAAGAUAAUUAUAAAUAAUUAUAUAAACUUGAUUAUUUAUUUUUCAGUUUUCGAAUCUAAAACCAUGUGAUGUGCAGUCCAUACAAUAUUUGUUAGAAGAUUGCUUAAAACGUAUCAGACCAAAUGCAGUAGGUCUUGUAGAUAGUUUUGAUAUUCACGAUAAUAUAUUGGACUCGACGCUUGGUUGCUACGACGGUAACGUGUACGAACGAAUUUUUGAAGAAGCCAAUAAGAGUCCUUUGAACAAAGAGCCUGUAAAUCGUUCGUUUGAAUUGUACUUAAAACCUUUUUUGAAGUCCAACAUUUAAAUUAAAUUAAAUCAUAAACAGGAUAGAUUAUGCUCAAUAAUAGAUUAAGGCAAUUUUUUUUUGCUUUCUGUUUUAUCUAGGUUUAUUAUAAUUUUGGAUUCUGAGUGGAGCGAGGAAUGUAUUUGUUUUACAAUGAUGUUUAUUUCUUUUUUUUAUCUAUGAACAACUUUUCUCCCAGUAAUUUUGCUCCGAUUUACAAAGAUAGCACUUUUUCUGAAAAGAAAUCUGACUGAGGUGGUACCUUUGGGACGUAAUUUUUAACACGAUUUUAACAUCAAAUGUGAAAAACCGAGAAAAAACAUAGGAAAAUAGGAAUUUCAGUUUGGUUAACUAUACUGCAGUCUUUCAUCUUUUUUUUCUUUAUUAACUGACUGUAGUGGGAGAUCAGUUUUUCACAUUGCUACCCCACUACUGCCAUCGUUUAUUAAUGAAUAUAAUUAAACAAUAAAAUAAUAAAGUAUAAACAAAAUUAUUAAAAUGUCUAAUAAUAAUUAAUUUUAAAUAAUCUCUUAUAUUAAAAUAAGUUUGAACUGUACGUAAAACCGUUCAUGGAAUCUAAUAUGUAAAUUAUAAAUGUUAUAUUAUUAUUGAAUAGUUUAAUCUAUUUUGUAUUAUGUAAAAGAUACAUGUUUUUUAUUUAAUUUGCAUACCAGUCGUGAAUUUAUGUUUACACUAGAUAGAUAUAUAAAUACCACGAUCUAUAGGCCGGGCACGUACCAAGGAAAAUAAAAUAUCAUUAAAACCUAC